GUGACAUAUUUAAGUCAUGAUCAUCCGUGAACAGUUUAUCAAUUAGCAACCCAAUUUAACAGCAAGAAAAGGUUCCUGAUGAAAUUCUUUUGGGGGAAUCAAAGCAAACCACGUCAGAAAAGAGAUCCAUGGACAUCCCUUGCUACACAGAUGGCUGGCAGCUUCCUAUACCUCGCCCAGGCUGAUCCUGCCUCAGACAAAAUCAUGGAAGCAGAUGAAGAUGAGUCUAUCAGCUGCUUUUGUGCCAGAGGAUACUGAGUCACAGGGUUUGGUUCAGUGUGACGUGCCUGCUGGGCUCAACUGCGGUGAAAACCAGACCUGUAAGAAUCAAGCUGACACUACUCUGUCUCCAGGAAGAAGCUCUGAAGUGCAAACACACACACACACACACACACACACGAACACACACUGUGCAGUUUCCUAAUUGAAUCUAAAAUAACUCAAAGGGCUGAGCCAGCUGCAACUCUCCCAACUGCUGUUUACCACAGACACAGAUGAGGAAUGUCCUUGUUCUCUGAGAAGAGGCUGGCUGAGAGGCAAUCCAUGUGGAGUGGCAACACCGGGGUCAGAUGGCAGGCCAGGCCUGCAGAUAUCAACACACAGCCUCCACCACUGGCUGCCGGUGCAACCCAAGCAGUGGGCAGGGCUCCACCUGCACCCACUGCUGUCCACAGAUCCAUUGGGAAAAAGAAUCAUUUUGAGCCAAUAUCAACGUACUCUUCUGGGAACUUUUACUAUUCAUUCCUUUUGCUAUUUUUAGGGGAAGCAUGCCUGUUAAAAAUAAGUGUUUUCUCUCCAAAAUUCCUCCAUAUUUUCAUAUUAUGAGUGCCCUGUAACAUUUGCAGAGAUAAGCAAGGAGGGAAGGGGGCAAGGAAAAUGCAGCUAUCUUCUUAGAGAUUUUCUGUUUCAAAAGAGCUAAAGCACAUGCAUGGAAGAUUCAUUUGCAUUUCAAUAAACAUUUUCUCUCUGGA
rnacentral:lncRNA from 10 species